rnacentral:rRNA from 1 species
UGAGAUGAACGCUGGCGGCAGGCCUAACACAUGCAAGUCGAACGGUAACAGGAAGCAGCUUGCUGCUUCGCUGACGAGUGGCGGACGGGUGAGUAAUGUCUGGGAAACUGCCUGAUGGAGGGGGAUAACUACUGGAAACGGUAGCUAAUACCGCAUAACGUCGCAAGACCAAAGAGGGGGACCUUCGGGCCUCUUGCCAUCGGAUGUGCCCAGAUGGGAUUAGCUAGUAGGUGGGGUAACGGCUCACCUAGGCGACGAUCCCUAGCUGGUCUGAGAGGAUGACCAGCCACACUGGAACUGAGACACGGUCCAGACUCCUACGGGAGGCAGCAGUGGGGAAUAUUGCACAAUGGGCGCAAGCCUGAUGCAGCCAUGCCGCGUGUAUGAAGAAGGCCUUCGGGUUGUAAAGUACUUUCAGCGGGGAGGAAGGGAGUAAAGUUAAUACCUUUGCUCAUUGACGUUACCCGCAGAAGAAGCACCGGCUAACUCCGUGCCAGCAGCCGCGGUAAUACGGAGGGUGCAAGCGUUAAUCGGAAUUACUGGGCGUAAAGCGCACGCAGGCGGUUUGUUAAGUCAGAUGUGAAAUCCCCGGGCUCAACCUGGGAACUGCAUCUGAUACUGGCAAGCUUGAGUCUCGUAGAGGGGGGUAGAAUUCCAGGUGUAGCGGUGAAAUGCGUAGAGAUCUGGAGGAAUACCGGUGGCGAAGGCGGCCCCCUGGACGAAGACUGACGCUCAGGUGCGAAAGCGUGGG